GAUGAAGAACGUAGUGAAAUGCGAUACGUAAUGUGAAUUGCAGAAUUCAGUGAAUCAUCGAGUCUUUGAACGCACAUUGCGCCCCCUGGUAUUCCGGGGGGCAUGCCUGUCCGAGCGUCAUUGCUGCCCUCAAGCACGGCUUGUGUGUUGGGCCUCCGUCCUCCUCCCGGGGGACGGGCCCGAAAGGCAGCGGCGGCACCGCGUCCGGUCCUCGAGCGUAUGGGGCUUCGUCACCCGCUCUUGUAGGCCCGGUCGGCGCUUGCCGACACAUCAAUCUUUUUUCCAGGUUGACCUCGGAUCAGGUAGGGAUACCCGCUGAACUUAAGCAUAUCAAUAAGCGGAGGA
rnacentral:misc_RNA from 1 species